rnacentral:rRNA from 1 species
AGUGAACGCUGGCGGUAGGCCUAACACAUGCAAGUCGAACGGCAGCACAGUAAGAGCUUGCUCUUACGGGUGGCGAGUGGCGGACGGGUGAGGAAUACAUCGUAAUCUACUUUUUCGUGGGGGUUAACGUAGGGAAACUUACGCUCAUACCGCAUACGACCUACCGGUGAAAGCAGGGGAUCUUCGUACCUUGCGCGAUUGAAUGAGCCGAUGUCGGAUUAGCUAGUUGGCGGGGCAAAGGCCCACCAAGGCGACGAUCCGUAGCUGGUCUGAGAGGAUGAGCAGCCACACUGGAACUGAGACACGGUCCAGACUCCUACGGGAGGGAGCAGUGGGGAAUAUUGGACAAUGGGCGCAAGCCUGAUCCAGCCAUACCGCGUGGGUAAAGAAGGCCUUCGGGUUGUAAAGCCCUUUUGUUGGGAAAGAAAAGCAGCAGGUUAAUACCCCGCUGUUAUGACGGUAACCAAAGAAUAAGCACCGGCUAACUUCGUG